AAUACCUAAAUUUAGCUAAUAUCAGUUCAAUUAGUUGCACAAUGUCCCUUGAAUGUUACUACUUGUGCUGUAAACAAAUAUCUAUCAUGAUCUGCCCUGAUAGCUGGCCUUAAUGGUUCAUGCCUUUCUCUUGCGUAACUCUGCCUGGUCUCCAAUUAUCACCAAUCUCAUCCACCUGCAUCUGUUCCUUUAUAUUGGGCUCUUUUCCAGCUAUUGGGGCCAGAUCAUUGUUUGCUGUUUGGUUGUUUCCUGUUAGAUGUCUUUAUGUUCUGUUUUCAUAAGUUUUAGUUAGUCUAAGGUUCUUGUCCCCGAUUCCAGUUGGAGAUUAUUCUGGAGCCAACCUCUUCAGGACUGCGGACUCCUGGAUUUCAAGAUCUACUCCAGUCUGAUCUGAAUCCCUGUCCUGGAUUGGAGUCCUGCCUGCUCACUGCUUGCUGCAUCGGUGACGCUCUGGAGGGCAUAGAGCUGCAUCGCAUUGGCAGUGCAUGGGCUGAUCCUGCGUAUUAUUGAGAGGAUGGACUGAACUGUUAAACCAGCGAGUCAAUGUUUGGGCGGUUCCUGGCUGCAGGUCCACAGAUCCACAUCAGCUCUGCGCUUCUGUUCUGUCUCUUUAAGUUUUUGUUUUAAUAAAUGUUUUGUACUUUUCUACUGAUUGUCUCACCUUGAAUACUAG